GUCUACGUAGUAUAGUGGUAAGUAUACCUCGUUGUGGCCUUACGUAAGCAAGUGAUCCGAGGAGACCCAUGUUCGAUUCAUGGCGUAGACA